CCAUCACGUACCCCGCAUCCUCCCCGUUGGCUCCCUCCCCCCAACCCAACCCGCGUCCUCCUUCUCCCGUAUCACUCGGACCUGUAGCGCCGCCGUCACCGAUGCACCUCCAUUCCCCUUCUCCCCACCACCUUCGGCUUCGGCAUGGAGCAAUAGCUCCUCUUGCCUCACCGGCCGUCCUGACCAAGGCAGGGCGCCUUGUCCUCGCCUUCCCCGAGCGCGGAGGGAGAGAUGGCGACGACUGGAUCUCGCUAAGUGGCCAGCGAGGAGGACGGCUUGGCCCCGCAGCGACGCCAACAAGGCACUUCCAUCCAGCGUACGUCACCUAUUCUUCCUCCUCUCGCUCUGAUCCUACCGUGGCCACCACCAAUAGUAGUAAGAAGUCCAACUCUUCUGUGGUAUGAACUAUCACUUGUGUUGUUGUUUGAUGUAUUUUCUUGCAUCCUUGCUAAUUCGGGUUGAUCUGCUAUUGCCCCACACGAGGUUGUCCUCCUCUCUGGUUUUGUUGACUCCGACGGCGCCAGCUCGACCUACAGGAUAUCUUUGACAUUUGUUGUUAUUGGGGUGUCAAUGCUGGCGAUGAAAAGAUUAUCAAUGUUCUUAUUGGGUUGUCAAUGCUGGAAGCUGCUCAUGGGACAUAUAACUUGAAGGUCCACUCCAGUGCUACUUUUCUUUCUACUAAUAUUCAUUUUAAUCAGGAACAAUAGACAGUGAUUCCACACUUGUAGUUGACUUCAUGUGCUUCCUUGGACUUAUAUCUUCGGGUUUUAUUGUGUGGUGGUGGUGCCGUCGAGAUCGGGGAUGGUGCUCCGCGGCCUGGAUGCCGCGUUCUUCCUCCCCGUGCGAUUCCCUUCUCCCUCGGCUUCUUCUACGCCUGAUUCGUCCUCGACCGCCUGGUAUACAAGGAGCAAAUGAUGUUUCAAUAAUACAAAGGGUUGAUGUUGGUUUUGGUACGUUCAUAGGUUUAUGCGGCACAUAUAUACUGGCAUAAUACUUGCUGAAGCACCUCCCUAGCUUCCUUGCCUUGCUGCUCUAGCACCAGCCUCGUCGCAGUUGAGGUUUGCUCUGAUUUCCAUGCCCCGUUGUUUCGUUUAUGCUUGAUUUGCUGUGUGGAAAUGCAAUGUGAUACUUGCAUGAUUGGUGGAUAAAAUCCUAAUGUAGAAACACAUAUAAUUAUUAAUGGUGAUCUUUGGAUGAGUUCUUCUUUCUGACUGAUUGCAUAAUUUAGUUGUAUAAAUCAUUAUGAAGUAAAUAAAUUUGGGGGAAUUCUCUUCUUCACAUGUAAAGAGGUGGGAUCCAUACGGCAGGGAUGAAAGCCAGCUUCAAUUGGCAUGCAAUAAGACCAAAUGGCAGGUAAUGAGUUAUAUUCUUUAGUUAUGAGCUUGAUUCAAUGUCCUGCGUUAUAGAAAGUUCAAACUUGAAUUGCUCUGUUUCAGGAUUUAAACCUUCUUGAGUUAUGCAAUCACAAAUAUCUUGCACCUAGAGAAAGAAACUUGGAUGUUUUGAUCACACAAAGGUGUUUUUUACAUGUAUGUGCUUUCUUUUAAUCUAUGCAUGAGCCAGGUUUCUAUGAUAUGCAGUUUGGACCAUGAGCUUGCGGAUGCUAAAGAAAUUCUUAGGUACGUAGUCUGGAAUAAAAGCAUUCAAGAAGUUCACUAGGCCAGAAUGCUUGAAGUCGGUCUUGAUGAUUGUAACUCACGUUUCCUCAGCAUGCUAAAAUGGCUCAAGUUAUUCAUCUGUAUGUUGUAGGUACCCUCCAACUCCUUUUUGUUUUAAUGAUUUUCACUAACAAAUAAUUCUUACAUAAGACCUUGGGUAACAAAGAUGUUCUUAUUUAUCCAACAUUAUUUACAAACUUUGAUGGAUUAGAAAAAGAUUAGAAUUAAUGGAUGCAGGUAGUACACAAUUUUAUAUGCUGGCAGCUAUGCAUAAUGUAUGAGUCUACGCAAGUGUCAGUUCUGUAUUAUUGUCUGUUUUCAAGUAUUUGUCACUUGGGUUUCUGAUAACUGAAGUGGGUGUCUGUAGUUCCAAUGCAGAGCAGAUCGAGUGGUGUAAGGUGGUGUUGCUGUGGGACAUUGCAACUGCUCCCAGAUCGAUUGAAGCUUCGUUUGAAUGUUUUAGUUCAUCUAUGCUUUUGAUUAUAUUUUUACAGAAUAAUGGGGGUUAUACUUAUUCUCGACGGCCUUGCGGAGAGUAUUCUGAAUUGUAUUCAUCGCUUCCAAGUACCUGUUUAUAUUUCUUAUGAGUAUUCACCUA